UCCGGACGGGCGCCUAAUCCCGCCGCCGUCCGGAUGUCCGGUCGACGCUUUUGGAUCGGCGGGAGCGGAGGACCCGAGCAGGACGGGGUCCACGGCCUUCACGGGCCGGCGGACUCCUUGGGGUGAAGCCGUACGCACGGCCGGGCAUCUUCGCCUGCCCGAACCCGACAGGUCUUCCUUCGCAGGCGGCUGACGAAGGGUUU
rnacentral:sRNA from 2 species